UGCCUGAUAAACCUAAAAUAUUAAUUAAAUAAAAGCUAUCUACUCUGUAUUAAGUCUGUUCAAAAUGAGUUAGACCCUUGUUGAGAGAUUUAUCAUGCUCCUAAGAUCAAAACAUUCAUUCAGAAAGAUUCACUCUUCCGAAGUAUUAUUGCAUUAGAAGCAUGGGCUAUGCAAAAAUAUGAAUAUUUCGAGGAAAUAAAAAGGAGCAAGUGCUCGAUAACCUCGCAGAAAAAAUGGACAAGUGUCCGGCAGUAGAAUUAGGAGUACCUCGGUAUCCACCUGAAAAAAAAGAAA
rnacentral:lncRNA from 1 species